rnacentral:rRNA from 1 species
GGUGACCGACCCCUUCGGGGAGCUUGCACAGGUGCUGCAUGGCUGUCGUCAGCUCGUGUCGUGAGAUGUUCGUUAAGUCCGCUAACGAGCGCAACCCUCGCUGUGUGUUAUAUGUGUCACACGGGACUGCCGGUCUUAAGCCGGAGGAAGGUGGGGAUGAUGUCAAGUCAGCAUGGCCUUUAUAUCCUGGGCUACACACACGCUACAAUGGCCAACACAAUAGGUUGCUAAGCCGCGAGGUGGCGCCAAUCCAUAAAGUUGGUCUCAGUUCAGAUUGUAGGCUGCAACCCGCCUGCAUGAAGAUGGAGUUGCUAGUAACCGCAGGUCAGCUAUACUGCGGUGAAUACGUUCCCGGGGCUU